GUGCGGCAGGGAUAGCAGCGGUUAUCCUUUUGCUUUUUUUUGUGGAAUGGUCGCUCUGGUUGAAUGUGUCAUCAACUUCUAUAUUAUAAUAGUAUGGUGAAACUAUGAUCUGAAAAAGCAAAAGAUAUGAGCGAAUAGCCCGGUGACAA
rnacentral:sRNA from 1 species